UCAUAAAAAAAAAUGGAAGGAUUUCGAACAAAUAAAGAUUUAUUCCUUAUUUUACGAAAUGCUAAGAGAGAUAUCGGUGACUAUUUAUAUCUAAAAGAAAAGAUAGAAGAAAGGAUGAAUAUUUCUUCUAAGAAAUCAGAAGAAUUAAAAAUUAAGUUAAGGAAGUUUGCUUCUAAACUCAAGGAGAAAUGGAUAAAGUGUAGUUACAGCAAAACCUACUUCUUCAAACAUCACAACCAGUGGUUAGAAAGAGAUUUCUUGUAUCCAAAUGAAAUCUUAACAGAUACUUUUUCGACAAGUGCUCAAGAACUAAAAUCAUCCAUAGUGACCGUGUAUAAAGUAAAAGGAUCACUUUUGCAAUACAGUAAUAGAGAGCAAAUAAGAAGAGCUCAGUAUCUAAUUAAUCAUUUUACUUCAUCGGAAUUACUGAACGUUGCAGGAAUGAAGCUCAGGAAACGUGGGAUGCAUUCUAAAGCAUGCUUGUUGAAAUAUUUAGCAAAUGACAAAUACAAUAAAAUCAUUGAAAAUUUGAAUAAAAGGAUAUACAGCCAAAGACAAAAGGUAUUGCCCACAAAAGGCAUGAAAUAUUUUCGUGAUGGCAGAACUGUUCCAGUACAUCACAAUAAGGAAUCAAGCAAUAAUACAUAAUAAUAAUAGAAAGUUUGAACAAACCAGACAAUCCAGAUUAAAAAAUUUGGAGAUAUAAGAUGGAUAAGAUGUGUGGAUUAUACAUGGAUAAGAUGUAUGGAAUGUUUACUACACAUCAUACAUCUGUAGUGGAUGCAAAUUUGAAGAAAGAAAAAGAUGAAAACAAAACAAUGUGUAUAGAACGAAUUUAAAGAAAAGAUGAGGUUGGAAUUUGUUAAACGAUGGUACUUUCGAAUAAACACAUUAACAAUUUAUAGCUGAUUAUAUGACAAAUCAUUGCCCUAUACAAAAUACAUAUCGAAGAAUUUUAAAAAUAUAUAAAAGAUACAGCACAAUAUUAUGGGUGGUAUUAUAUGACAAUUUCAGUCCAUAAUUUAUUAAUACAUGAGGCAGAAAUAAUUCAAAAGGCAUUAUUGGGUAGGUUUGUGAGGAGGCUCAGAAAGCCCCAUGCAGAGAUACAAUAAUACACUUUAUAGAACAAUAAUAAAUUAAAUAUUUUUAAAAUAA